rnacentral:tRNA from 1 species
GGGAAUGUGGCUCAGUGUUAGAGCGCUUGCCUAGCAUGCAUGAAGCCCUGGGUUUGAUUCCUUAAUACCA